AUGUUCCUUGAGAACAUAGCCAAAAUACCCGAGGAUGUAAUGGAGUCCGACUGUAGGGAUGUUGCUCCAAGUCCCAAUGUCUUGAAAAACAUUUUAUUUGAAGCCCGUAAGUCAAGCCACCAACACAAUAAUGAAAUAAUCAGCCUUCAAAUAAUGCUGCAAAAGAGAACAAACAGUCCUGAUGAGGUACUCCAGAAAGUGAUGCUACACCCAAAAGGGGUCCUCCUGUGGUCAAAAAAGAGUAUACACAUAUAUCAGGAACGAUGCCAGGAGGACAUAAUUUAUCUCGAUGCAACUGGAAGCAUAAUGCGGAGGGAGAUGGGGUCACCUCCAUUCUAUGUAUAUGAGUUGGUGGUCAGAAAUCCACACAAAACCUCAUCUCCAUUACCUGUUGCCACGUACCUUACUUGCGACCACACCACAGCCUCAGUUUUAUAUUUUCUUGAGGCAUUUCUAACAGACGUGGCAAGGUGGUUUGGAAGGAAGGGUAUGCGGUCACCUGUCAUGGUCAUUUGUGAUGGGUCAAUUGUGUUAAUGCAGGCUAUAUGCCUGGCAUUUGCCAAAAAAAACCUGACUGACACAAUAAACCACUAUUACAACAUCGCAAGUGGAAAAGGGAAACCGGAAGAUUUUGAUGUGCCGAUUCUGCAUAGAUGCCUCAGCCAUGUGAUGAAGAAUGCAAAGGAAAUGUGCAGAAAGUAUGCAAGAAACCACUACCACCUGGCAAUGCAUGUCUUUGGUGCUCUCACAACUGCAAGCACUUUAAAAGAACUGGAUGACAUGGUUCAAAGUGCUACAGUUGUCUUCUCCAGUCCAUCCUGUGGUGCCAGUGUUGAGAAGCACUUCAAAAACCUGCAAUCGUGGCUGCAGAAAAAAGGGACUCCGUUGGAUGAGACUACCAAGUCCAGAGGUGAUGCAGAGGACUUGAAGGAUAUUACAGGAAGCAACAGAUUUGCAAAACGUUGCAAUGCAGUUAUUUCAAAUGCCCCGCUGGACAAGCAUGGAGAGGUCAAUGUGUACCAAUGCAAAGGGCUUAUCGAUCACCUCAAGAAAUACAUUCUUCCAUUUGCUGGAUUAUGGACUGGGAUAAUGCUAGGUUUGUCAUAA
ensembl:lncRNA